AACGUAGGACGCAAGCGUUAUCCGGAGUUACUGGGCGUAAAGCGCGCGCAGGCGGCUGUCUAAGUCUGAUGUGAAAGCGCCCGGCUUAACCGGGCGAGGCCAUUGGAAACUGGAGAGCUGGAGGGCAGUAGAGGCAGGCGGAAUUCCGGGUGGAGUGGUGAAAUGCGUAGAGAUCCGGAGGAACACCAGAGGCGAAGGCGGCCUGCUGGGCUGCACCUGACGCUGAGCCGCGAAAGCCAGGGGAGCGAACGGG
rnacentral:rRNA from 1 species